rnacentral:rRNA from 1 species
GUCCACGCCGUAAACGAUGAUAACUCGCUGUCGGGGCAAUUGAGCCUCGGUGGCUUAGCGAAAGCGUUAAGUUAUCCACCUGGGGAGUACGGUCGCAAGACUGAAACUCAAAGGAAUUGACGGGGGCCCGCACAAGCGGAGUAACAUGUGGUUUAAUUCGAUGAUACGCGAGGAACCUUACCCGGGCUCGAACGGCUAUAGAAUACGGUGGAAACAUCGUAGCCAGCAAUGGCUGUAGUCGAGGUGCUGCAUGGUUGUCGU